CAGCAGGUAAAUCCUAACUCCUGUAACCCCGGGACUGAAAAUACUGAGAAACAAGUCCUCACAUGGAAUUGUCUGAAUAAUGGAAGUUGAACUCCCAACCUUAAAGAUGGAAUCCCACUGAAAAGGGCCAACAGCCCAUGGAAAACAAAUGAUGCAGAGACCCGAAAGUUCAGUGUCUUGCCACAAUGGGCGGAAGACCAUCCCACACCUACCACCAGCUUCAAGGCUCAGAGAUUUUUGUGGAAGAAAUUGGUGGAAAGAAUUGGUGGAAAUUGGUGGAAAGAGCCUGAAGAAGAGG